rnacentral:misc_RNA from 1 species
GCAAUCUUAAUUGGUCCGUGUUUCUGAUUUAACCGUGACUGAUACCCAUUAAGCACACUCUGAUCUCUUAAUUUUCUUUUUCUAAAAUUUAUUUUCCAGGUUUCGGAUUUUUUUGGUUUCAUUUCUAAGGAAAUCUAAUGAGCUCUGUGAUUAUAUGCCCGAUUUGGGCUAUAUACGCUAUUCUGAUUCAUAACAUGAGCAGAAAUCUGAGAAAUGAGAGCUAUUUCUACUGCAUUUUCAGUUUUGUUUCGUUUUUCUUUAUGUACUGUUUACUAAUUUUAAUAUUGAAUAAUUGAAAUGUAUAUACAAGCUUCUGCAGUGAUGAAUUUAUGAAACAAUUCACAUGUCAGACUUCAGAGAUU